rnacentral:rRNA from 1 species
CAGUAGCCACGGGAAUACGUAGGUGGCAAGCGUUGUCCGGAAUUAUUGGGCGUAAAGCGCGCGCAGGUGGUUUAAUAAGUCUGAUGUGAAAGCCCACGGCUCAACCGUGGAGGGUCAUUGGAAACUGUUAAACUUGAGUGCAGGAGAGAAAAGUGGAAUUCCUAGUGUAGCGGUGAAAUGCGUAGAGAUUAGGAGGAACACCAGUGGCGAAGGCGGCUUUUUGGCCUGUAACUGACACUGAGGCGCGUAAGCGUGGGGAGCAAACAGGAUUAGAUACCCGUGUAGUCCCUGUCUCUUAUAC